rnacentral:lncRNA from 1 species
CGGGGCAUGCGGUGGGUGGGUGAUCGGCGGCAGACGAAUGAAGAGACGGGCGUGCGUGCGGCCGGCGGUUGGUGGGUGGCGUGCGGAUCGCAGCGACCAGUGGUGGUUGGAGGAAGAGAGAGCUAGAGGGCGUGCGUGCGGUGAUGCGGGUUGUUUCGACAGAUUUUUUUUUUCCGUUCGCUCCGGAGUUCUUCGGGUUAAUCUGAGGCGUUGGGUGGACCAGAUCCGACGGCUCAUAACCAGUGGACGGUGAGCAAUGAGUAAACUGUGUGUUUAUAAUAGUAGAGAUGACUUCAGGAGCCCUAUUUUUGUGCGCUUGUUCAGAAUUAUAGCUUCAGACGCCGGCACUGUUUGACAGUUCCUCUAAUGACUGCUG